UACGGAGGAUCCGAGCGUUAUCCGGAUUUAUUGGGUUUAAAGGGUGCGCAGGCGGGAGAUUAAGUCAGCGGUGAAAUUUUGCAGCUCAACUGUAAAAGUGCCUUCGAAACUGGUUUCCUUGAGUGUAGCUGAAGUAGGCGGAAUUUGUGGUGUAGCGGUGAAAUGCAUAGAUAUCACGAGGAACUCCGAUUGCGCAGGCAGCUUACUAAACUACUACUGACGCUCAUGCACGAAGGCGUGGGGAUCAAACAGGAUUAGAUA
rnacentral:rRNA from 1 species